rnacentral:miRNA from 1 species
UUAAAGCCAGAGUUUGGAAAG